CAAUAUAAAUAAUGGCGUGCAUAAGGUCGACAACAGUUUUCUGCGUUUUAUUUCUUGCUCUUUACGCCGUGUUUUCCCAAGUAGAAGCGAAUGAGUGCUCUUCUGACUCUGGAUGUGGUUACUUAAAGUAUUGCUGUGAAAGAAAAUAUCCCAGUUACGACAAUAUAUGUCUGAACAAUUGCAUUGGUCAAUCUUGUACUAUCGACGGCAACUGUGCACCGGGUGAAACUUGUUGUGGUGUUGAUAAGAAAUGUGGCACAACUUGCAUUGGAGAAUCGUGUUACCGUGAUAGCAACUGUGCAACGGGUGAAACUUGUUGUGAUUAUGAUACGAAAUGUGCCACAACUUGUACUGGAAAAUCGUGUUACUAUGAUAGCCAAUGUGCAACGGGCCAAACUUGUUGUGGUUCUGAUAAGAAAUGUGCGACAACUUGUAUUGGAAAAUCAUGUAGCUACAGUGUCCACUGUGCAACGGGUGAAUCUUGUUGUGAUGCUGAUAAGAAAUGUGCCACAACUUGUAUUGGAAAAUCGUGUGACUAUGAUGGCGACUGUGCAACGGGUGAAUCUUGUUGUGAUUCUGAUAAGAAAUGUGCCACAACUUGUAUUGGAAAAUCGUGUGACUAUAAUGGCGACUGUGCAACAGGCGAAACUUGUUGUAAUUCUGAUAAGAAAUGUGCGACAACUUGUAUUGGAAAAUCAUGUGACUACAGUCACCACUGUGCUACUGGAGAAUGUUGCAAUUCUGAUGAUAAAUGUGACACAGAUUGCAGUGUUGUGAUUAAAGGUCUAGCUGGUUGGAUUGUUGCAGUGAUUGUUAUCAGUGUUAUUGUUGUUAUCGUCAUACCUAUUGCAGUUGUCAUCUUUUGCUGUUUUUGUGCGGCUGGUGCGGCAGCAGCCUCAAGACGUCCUGCUCAUGGUGGUGUUGUAUUAACACAACCUACAACCACAGGAAAUACAGUCUUUGCAACCCAGCAACAACAACAACAAUUCGCUGCACAACAAGGACAACCAAUGUAUUUCCAAAACUCUCAACCAUAUCCAAACCAACCCCCACCAGAAUAUCAACCUCAAGGGAC